rnacentral:piRNA from 1 species
GAUCCAUCUGUGCAAGCCCACAACCAC